GCGGGGAUAGCUCAGUUGGGAGAGCGUCAGACUGAAGUCAAGUUCAGUUCUCAAAAUUUAUCUGAAGGUCGUGUGUUCGAUCCACACUCACCGCA